CGAAUGCUGACAUAAGUAACGAUAAAGCGGGUGAAAAGCCCGCUCGCCGGAAGACCAAGGGUUCCUGUCCAACGUUAAUCGGGGCAGGGUGAGUCGACCCCUAAGGCGAGGCCGAAAGGCGUAGUCGAUGGGAAACAGGUUAAUAUUCCUGUACUUGGUGUUACUGCGAAGGGGGGACGGAGAAGGCUAUGUUGGCCGGGCGACGGUUGUCCCGGUUUAAGCGUGUAGGCUGGUUUUCCAGGCAAAUCCGGAAAAUCAAGGCUGAGGCGUGAUGACGAGGCACUACGGUGCUGAAGCAACAAAUGCCCUGCUUCCAGGAAAAGCCUCUAAGCAUCAGGUAACAUCAAAUCGUACCCCAAACCGACACAGGUGGUCAGGUAGAGAAUACCAAGGCGCUUGAGAGAACUCGGGUGAAGGAACUAGGCAAAAUGGUGCCGUAACUUCGGGAGAAGGCACGCUGAUAUGUAGGUGAAGUCCCUCGCGGAUGGAGCUGAAAUCAGUCGAAGAUACCAGCUGGCUGCAACUGUUUAUUAAAAACACAGCACUGUGCAAACACGAAAGUGGACGUAUACGGUGUGACGCCUGCCCGGUGCCGGAAGGUUAAUUGAUGGGGUCAGCGCAAGCGAAGCUCUUGAUCGAAGCCCCGGUAAACGGCGGCCGUAACUAUAACGGUCCUAAGGUAGCGAAAUUCCUUGUCGGGUAAGUUCCGACCUGCACGAAUGGCGUAAUGAUGGCCAGGCUGUCUCCACCCGAGACUCAGUGAAAUUGAACUCGCUGUGAAGAUGCAGUGUACCCGCGGCAAGACGGAAAGACCCCGUGAACCUUUACUAUAGCUUGACACUGAACAUUGAGCCUUGAUGUGUAGGAUAGGUGGGAGGCUUUGAAGUGUGGACGCCAGUCUGCAUGGAGCCGACCUUGAAAUACCACCCUUUAAUGUUUGAUGUUCUAACGUGGACCCGUGAUCCGGGUUGCGGACAGUGUCUGGUGGGUAGUUUGACUGGGGCGGUCUCCUCCUAAAGAGUAACGGAGGAGCACGAAGGUUGGCUAAUCCUGGUCGGACAUCAGGAGGUUAGUGCAAUGGCAUAAGCCAGCUUGACUGCGAGCGUGACGGCGCGAGCAGGUGCGAAAGCAGGUCAUAGUGAUCCGGUGGUUCUGAAUGGAAGGGCCAUCGCUCAACGGAUAAAAGGUACUCCGGGGAUAACAGGCUGAUACCGCCCAAGAGUUCAUAUCGACGGCGGUGUUUGGCACCUCGAUGUCGGCUCAUCACAUCCUGGGGCUGAAGUAGGUCCCAAGGGUAUGGCUGUUCGCCAUUUAAAGUGGUACGCGAGCUGGGUUUAGAACGUCGUGAGACAGUUCGGUCCCUAUCUGCCGUGGGCGCUGGAGAACUGAGGGGGGCUGCUCCUAGUACGAGAGGACCGGAGUGGACGCAUCACUGGUGUUCGGGUUGUCAUGCCAAUGGCACUGCCCGGUAGCUAAAUGCGGAAGAGAUAAGUGCUGAAAGCAUCUAAGCACGAAACUUGC
rnacentral:rRNA from 1 species